UAGGGAAUCUUCCACAAUGGACGCAAGUCUGAUGGAGCAACGCCGCGUGAGUGAAGAAGGUUUUCGGAUCGUAAAGCUCUGUUGUUGGUGAAGAAGGAUAGAGGCAGUAACUGGUCUUUAUUUGACGGUAAUCAACCAGAAAGUCACGGCUAACUACGUGCCAGCAGCCGCGGUAAUACGUAGGUGGCAAGCGUUGUCCGGAUUUAUUGGGCGUAAAGCGAGCGCAGGCGGAAUGAUAAGUCUGAUGUGAAAGCCCACGGCUCAACCGUGGAACUGCAUCGGAAACUGGCAUUCUUGAGUGCAGAAGAGGAGAGUGGAAUUCCAUGUGUAGCGGUGGAAUGCGUAGAUAUAUGGAAGAACACCAGUGGCGAAGGCGGCUCUCUGGUCUGCAACUGACGCUGAGGCUCGAAAGCAUGGGUAGCGAACAGG
rnacentral:rRNA from 1 species